rnacentral:rRNA from 1 species
AUACUUUGAUGGCGACCGGCGCACGGGUGAGUAACACGUAUGCAACCUACCUACAUCAGGGGAAUAACCCGGAGAAAUUCGGACUAAUACCGCAUAAUACAGGGAUGCCGCAUGGCAAUAUUUGUUAAAGAUUUAUCGGAUGUAGAUGGGCANNCGUUCCAUUAGCUAGUUGGUAAGGUAACGGCUUACCAAGGCAACGAUGGAUAGGGGAACUGAGAGGUUUGUCCCCCACACUGGAACUGAGACACGGACCAGGCUCCUACGGGAGGCAGCAGUGAGGAAUAUUGGUCAAUGGACGAGAGUCCGAACCAGCCAAAUCGCGUGAAGGAAGACUGCCCUACGGGUUGUAAACUUCUUUUGUACAGGAAUAGAAGACAUUACGUGUAAUGUAUUGCAUGUACUGUACGAAUAAGCAUCGGCUAACUCCGUGCCAGCAGCCGCGGUAAUACGGAGGAUGCGAGCGUUAUCCGGAUUUAUUGGGUUUAAAGGGUGCGCAGGCGGGAUUUUAAGUCAGCGGUGAAAUUUUCAGGCUCAACCUGAACACUGCCGUUGAAACUGGGAUUCUUGAGUAUGGAUGAAGUAGGCGGAAUUCGUUGUGUAGCGGUGACAUGCUUAGAUAUAACGAGGAACUCCGAUUGCGUAGGCAGCUUACUAAGCCAUAACUGACGCUCAAGCACGAAANNGUGGGGAUCAAACAGNNNUAGAUACCCUGGUAGUCCACGCCGUAAACGAUGAUUACUNNNNNNU